rnacentral:rRNA from 1 species
UACGUAGGGUGCAAGCGUUGUCCGGAAUUAUUGGGCGUAAAGAGCGUGUAGGCGGCCCGGUAAGUCCGCUGUGAAAGUCGGGGGCUCAACCCUCGAAUGCCGGUGGAUACUGUCGGGCUAGAGUGCGGAAGAGGCGAGUGGAAUUCUCGGAGUAGCGGUAAAAUGCGUAGAUCUCGAGAGGAACACCGAUGGCGAAGGCAGCUUCUUGGUCCACUACUGACGCUCAUGCACGAAAGCGUGGGGAGCAAACAGG